CCUACGGGAGGCAGCAGUGGGGAAUCUUGCGCAAUGGGCGAAAGCCUGACGCAGCAACGCCGCGUGCGGGAAGAAGGCUUUCGGGCUGUAAACCGCUUUCAGCAGGAACGAAAAUGACGGUACCUGCAGAAGAAGGAGCGGCCAACUAUGUGCCAGCAGCCGCGGUGAUACAUAGGCUUCAAGCGUUGUCCGGAUUUAUUGGGCGUAAAGAGUUCGUAGGCGGUCGAGUAAGUCGGGUGUGAAAAUUCUGGGCUCAACCCAGAGACGCCACCCGAUACUGCUUAACUUGAGUUCGAUAGGGGAGUGGGGAAUUCCUAGUGUAGCGGUGAAAUGCGCAGAUAUUAGGAGGAACACCGGUGGCGAAGGCGCCACUCUGGAUCGAUACUGACGCUGAGGAACGAAAGCAUGGGUAGCAAACAGGAUUAGAUACCCUGGUAGUCCAUGCCGUAAACGGUGGGCACUAGGUGUGGGAUUCUAUUAACGAAUUCCGCGCCGUCGCUAACGCAUUAAGUGCCCCGCCUGGGGAGUACGGUCGCAAGACUAAAACUUAAAUGAAUUGACGG
rnacentral:rRNA from 1 species